GCGGGGGUAACUCAGCUGGUAGAGUCCCUGCCUUCCAAGCAGGAUGUCGCGGGUUCGAGUCCCGUCCCCCGCUCCA
rnacentral:tRNA from 1 species